UCUGGAUCAGGGUUCCAUGUCAACAGUGAUUGAACAUGGGUGAGUCGAUCCUAAGCCAACUGUGAAAGCAGUGACAUCCCGACAAAGGGGCAUUACGUGUGCGGCAGUUACACCCCCAAUAAGUUUCUCUCUCUCUCUCUCUGUGACGAURAGGUGUCUGGCACGAAAAAAUGCGCACACACAAUGAUCACUGUACAAAAGUGAGUGUGUGCGCUUGUCCGGUUACGCUCAURAGCGUUGUGUUGCUCUCKGGUAAAAUUKGGAUGGGAGAGAGAAAAAAAAUGAGAGACUGGGUGAGCGUAAAAAUGCCAUAACAGCAUGAGCCCCCUGCGUCUGGUUCUAUGUCUGGCGAAAGGGAAUGGGGACUUUGUUCCUUGACCGGUCCCGGCUCCCUCGAUUGGCUUUGCCAAUCAAUGGUCCAUGCAAAUGGAACCAGGCCACAGCCGCUGGCAGUCGCCCGAGGAAGAGUUUUCUUUUCUGCUUAACGCACGAGGUCAUUCCUGGAAACAGUUCGGCUGGCGAAAGGGUGUCCCGCUGCGGCAGAGCGCCACGACUGUCGUGCGCGUCUCGGUGUUCCUGCCGGUCCGUGAAGACGUGGUCGAGGGGAAUGCUCUUGUAUCAACGAAACGCCCGACAAGUUCGGGACGGACCGUACCCUAUAUCCGCAUCUGGUCUCCAAGGUUCGUAGCCUCUGCAGAGUCAGACACAUGUAGGUAAGGGAAGUCGGCAAACUCGAUCCGUAACUUCGGGAAAAGGAUUGGCUCUGAGGGCCGAGUUGGGCCGGGCCUUGCCUGCAAAGCAGUACCUAUAGUGACCGGAGUUUCAGGAGUGCGAGGGGCUCUAGUAGCUGCUUGUGCGUGUGUGCGUUCGCGCGCGCGCGUGUGGGCACGAACGAGUCCACCGCUCCGCUCCAACCACGAA
rnacentral:rRNA from 1 species